UGUGCCGCCGGACGGUGGGUGCCGAGAGACGUUGGGGAGCGUCAGUGACCGUCACCCGCUGGAAGCCGGGACGCGGACCAGGGACCGCGACCGAGCGCUCGGCGAGGGAG
ncrna:unclassified sequences Actinomyces-1 RNA